UUGAUUAUUUGUAUUUGGCUCAGAUGGCUUAAAGUAGCAAGAGUUUUGGUGUCCUUCGGCGGGCACCCGGCGUAAGCCGGGCUGGCGGCCCCGCCCUGGGGCUGCCCGCCGAAGCAACGACAAAGGUAUGUUCACAUGGGUUUUAGGGGGUUUGAUUCCCUUUUGUAAUGAUCCCUCCGCUGGUUCACCAACGGAGA
rnacentral:misc_RNA from 1 species